AUGUUUAGACACGGUGAAUGAUUUACCGUGUUUAGUAUGUAUAUUUUGUAUGUUGAAAAGAGGAAUAUGGAGUAGGGAUGUCAAUAGGUAUGGAUAUUCGAAAUAUUAUCCGAACCCAAACCCGAAUAAAUUAUAUAUAUAUAUACAUAAUUUAUUUUUAUUUAUUUAUACAAUAUAUAAAAUAUUUAAUCGCUGGAUGAAGAUCUAAGGAACGGUUAAAUAUUUUAUAUAUUGUAUAAAUAAAUAAAAAUAAAUUAUGUAUAUGUA
rnacentral:lncRNA from 1 species